AAAAAAUUAAUGGUUCUCAUUAGAGAACUAUAGAAAGGUUACAGAAUUUUUCAGCAGAAUCUGAUGUAUAAUUCGUCUAUAUUAAAAUAUGUAUUGAACUGCGUGUAUAUUAUUGCUGAUAAUAAAUACAAUUUGACGUUAAACUAUAGUAAAAAUUGUAUACAAAAGGAAUAGAAAAAGAAAGCAGAAUGUAAUAAUGUAAAUAAAAAAGGACGAAUUAAUGAAGUCGCGGCAAUGUAAAAAACAUAUCCAAUCCAAUUACUCCAAUCCAAUUUUUUGAGCAAAUAAUUUAUAAUAUUUUUCAACUUGUUUGUUAUGGGUUAGUCCAACCGAGUAGACCUGAAAAAUUGCGAAUGAUUGUUAUACCACUGUACGGUGGGUGUUAAAAUGUUGAAUAUUACUACCUUGAGGUUUGUACUUCUUGACUGUAAACGAGAAGAUAUCUCACUCGUACUAAUUCACUAUUCGUUAACGAGUAAUAUUUGUUCGAGGUUGUGCCACCCAUGGAAUCUUUAGAUACAGUCUGAACAGUACCCUCUGCAACCGGUUCUGGAGAUAUACAUGUAUUAUUAUUCCGCAUAUAUGUAUAUAAUCUGCGAUGCUCUACAUCGCACAUAUGUCAUUAUAAAACAUAAUUACCCGUGUCUCUACUUUUGACAUCGACGUGAUUGACAAGUUCGCACAAAGCGAUACAAUUCAUCUCGCUUCCCAGAACGCUACCGCCCCAUCCGUAUCCUAUAGGACUAUGCGACCAUAAUGUAUAAUAGAAUGGAAAUUCUCUAAACGGCUGCCGUGAUAAGCAUAGAAGGUUCUACAACCUUGCGCAAUCGUCUUCCACUUUUCCUCCGAUGCUGACUGCUUCGCGUUCGCAACAUGGAAUAUUAAAUUCGGCGCAGCCACUGACAGUUCUGACGGUACCUUCCUCAAUACGGACUCGUACUGCGCUCCAAAGAUUUGCCAAUAACAAACAAAAGCGUUGAUCUAUUAAAGGACCCAAGGAGUUGCGUAGAAAAUGUUCCAAGAAACAGGACGUACUUACAGAGUCUUUGCUAAUAGUUUUUAUAGUAGGAUCCCUUAAACGAAUCAAAACCCAAUACAACAGUUCUAUAGUUGUGCUGUAUCGCUCGUAUACAUCUGGAUCUUGCAACGCUUUAAGUAUCACAUCGAAUAAAGGCAAGUUGCAAUGAA